rnacentral:rRNA from 1 species
UGGGGAAUAUUGGACAAUGGGGCAACCCGUGCAUCCAGCAAUGCCGCGUGUAUGAAGAAGGUCUUCGGAUUGUAAAGUACUUUCGACAGGGACGAUGAUGACGGUACCUGUAGAAGAAGCCCCGGCUAACUUCGUGCCAGCAGCCGCGGUAAUACGAAGGGGGCGUAGCGUUACUCGGAAUGACUGGGCGUAAAGGGCGCGUAGGCGGCUUAUACAGUCAGAUGUGAAAUUCCUGGGCUUAACCUGGGACCUGCAUUUGAUACGUAUAGGCUAGAGUGUGAAAGAGGAUUGUGGAAUUCCAAGUGUAGAGGUGAAAUUCGUAGAUAUUUUGGAGGAACACCGGUGGCGAAGGCGGCAAUCUGGUUCACAACUGACGCUGAGGCGCGAAAAGCGUGGGGAGCAAACA